AGUAGUGUGGCCUAGUGGAGAGAGCACGAGCCAGGGAGACAGAAGACCUGGGUUCUAAUCCCAGCUCUACCA
rnacentral:tRNA from 1 species